GAACCUGCCCAUAGGUCUGGGAUAACCACGAGAAAUCGGGGCUAAUACCGGAUGUGUCAUCGGACCGCAUGGUCCGCUGAUGAAAGGCGCUCCGGCGUCGCCCAUGGAUGGCUUUGCGGUGCAUUAGCUAGUUGGUGGGGUAACGGCCCACCAAGGCGACGAUGCAUAGCCGACCUGAGAGGGUGAUCGGCCACACUGGGACUGAGACACGGCCCAGACUCCUACGGGAGGCAGCAGUAGGGAAUCUUCCACAAUGGACGAAAGUCUGAUGGAGCAACGCCGCGUGAACGAUGAAGGCUUUCGGGUCGUAAAGUUCUGUUGUAAGGGAAGAACAAGUGCCGCAGGCAAUGGCGGCACCUUGACGGUACCUUGCGAGAAAGCCACGGCUAACUACGUGCCAGCAGCCGCGGUAAUACGUAGGUGGCAAGCGUUGUCCGGAAUUAUUGGGCGUAAAGCGCGCGCAGGCGGCCUCUUAAGUCUGAUGUGAAAGCCCCCGGCUCAACCGGGGAGGGCCAUUGGAAACUGGGAGGCUUGAGUAUAGGAGAGAAGAGUGGAAUUCCACGUGUAGCGGUGAAAUGCGUAGAGAUGUGGAGGAACACCAGUGGCGAAGGCGACUCUUUGGCCUAUAACUGACGCUGAGGCGCGAAAGCGUGGGGAGCAAACAGGAUUAGAUACCCUG
rnacentral:rRNA from 1 species